rnacentral:rRNA from 1 species
UACGUAGGCAGCAAGCGUUAUUCGGAAUUAUUGGGCGUAAAGGGCGCGUAGGCGGCUUGGCAAGUGGAAGGUGAAAUCCCUCGGCUUAACCGAGGAACUGCCCUCCAAACUGCUUUGCUUGAGGCCGGGAGAGGCGAGUGGAAUUCCCAGUGUAGCGGUGAAAUGCGUAGAUAUUGGGAGGAACACCAGUGGCGAAGGCGAAUCUCUGGACAGUUACUGACACUGAGGCACGAAGGCCAGGGGAGCAAACGGG